AAGCAAUAUAACUCUUUUUAUAUAAAAAAAAUAUAGUAUUAAUAUUAAUAAAAGUAUGUCAACGGAACCUUAACUUAGUUAGUAUCAUUGCAAUUAUAACAACUAUAAAUUUAAGUAAUUGUGUAAUAUAUCAAUAAAAUAAUUAAAAAAAUUAUCGAUUAAGUCUUGACUUAAUUCACGUAUUUCUUCUUACAAUAACUCUGAUUUAAUUUCAGCAACUGGAAUUGGAAUUCCACACUCUUGGUCCUGUGAGUUUAUAUACACAUAUUGUGUGUUUGACAGACGAAAAUGAAGACUUGAGUUUAUAUACUCAUAAAGCUAGUCAAAUUCAACAUGGAACAAGGGAAAGAAAGGUUUUUCAUGUUUAACCAAAAAUAAAUAAAUUUUUACCUGUAUGUAUAGCAGAGGUUGAUGGUAUAGAAAAUUCGGAAGGUCUAUGGGCAGGAACAACCUUUCCGGGUUCAUACUGAGUCAAACACCGUUCACUGAUUCAUAGCUACGGCAUGAUCUUUUAGCAGCAAAGAUUCUAAUGCUUGAGGAUUUGGAAAAUAGCAUCUCCAAUAUGGCCUGUGGAGCAAAGGGAAAUAAGAAACUAAAGAACGCUAAGCAAAAGGGUGGUCAACCUCACAUGAGAUUAGCAUCCAACCUAAAAUCAGCUAGCAAUAGGCAAAGGGGCUUAACUUGAAUGUAAGACCACACAAAACUCAAUACUUUAACAUUCUCUCUCACUUGUAGCUCAACAAGGGUUUGCACGAGGACGACCUCACAAGGGGAUGGACACAACUGCUUAUGAGAUGUAGGAUAACACCACUUAAGGAGCUCGAAUUAAAUUGUUUAUGUAGUGCUCUAUUAUAGGCUCGGAAUAACACAAUCUAGAACAGAGCUUUUCGAAACCAGUAAUCUAAGAGAAUAGUUUUCGACUAAAUCUAAGUUAAACGAUGCUCGGAAAAAAGUUACCUGAUACUAGUUUGUGCACCUACAUCAGAAAAUGAUGAAGAUGUCAUAUCAGGACAAGCAGUUAACAUCAUUUUAUGAUAAAGAGUGGUUAGUUCUGGAAAUUUGCAAUUGAGAUUUAUCAUUUAUGGCAACACAAGUCAUAAUCAUCUUCAGCCGAGCCAUU
rnacentral:lncRNA from 1 species